GUGGGGAAUUUUGGACAAUGGGGGAAACCCUGAUCCAGCGACGCCGCGUGAAGGAUGAAGGCCUUCGGGUUGUAAACUUCUUUUGGAGGGGACGAAUAAAUUGACGGUACCCUCAGAAAAAGCCACGGCUAACUACGUGCCAGCAGCCGCGGUAAUACGUAGGUGGCGAGCGUUACUCGGAAUUACUAGGCGUAAAGCGUAUGUAGGCGGUUGUAUAAGUCAAUGGUGAAAUUUCCUGGCUCAACUGGGAAGGGACAUAGAUACUGUAUGGCUUGAGUGUUGGAGGUCGAGACGGAAUUCCUGGUGUAGCUGUGAAAUGCGUAGAUAUCAGGAGGAACACAGAUGGCGAAAGCAGUCUCCUGGCCAAAUACUGACGCUGAGGUACGAAAGCUAGGGUAGCAAACAGGAUUAGAAACCCUUGUAGUCC
rnacentral:rRNA from 1 species